GCAGUCGAGCGGUAACAGAANUAGCUUGCUACUUUGCUGACGAGCGGCGGACGGGUGAGUAAUGCUUGGGCAACAUGCCUUGAGGUGGGGGACAACAGUUGGAAACGACUGCUAAUACCGCAUAAUGUCUACGGACCAAAGGGGGCUUCGGCUCUCGCCUUUAGAUUGGCCCAAGUGGGAUUAGCUAGUUGGUGAGGUAAUGGCUCACCAAGGCGACGAUCCCUAGCUGGUUUGAGAGGAUGAUCAGCCACACUGGGACUGAGACACGGCCCAGACUCCUACGGGAGGCAGCAGUGGGGAAUAUUGCACAAUGGGCGCAAGCCUGAUGCAGCCAUGCCGCGUGUGUGAAGAAGGCCUUCGGGUUGUAAAGCACUUUCAGUCAGGAGGAAAGGUUAGGAGUUAAUACCUGCUAGCUGUGACGUUCUGACAGAAGAAGCACCGGCUAACUCCGUGCCAGCAGCCGCGGUAAUACGGAGGGUGCGAGCGUUAAUCGGAAUAUCUGGGCGUAAAGCGUACGCAGGCGGUUUGUUAAGCGAGAUGUGAAAGCCCCGGGCUCAACCUGNGAACUGCAUUUCGAACUGGCAAACUAGAGUGUGAUAGAGGGUGGUAGAAUUUCAGGUGUAGCGGUGAAAUGCGUAGAGAUCUGAANGAAUACCGAUGGCGAAGGCACCACCUGGGUCAACACUGACCUUAUGUACAAAAGCGUGGGGAGCAAACAGGAUUAAAUACCCUGGUAGUC
rnacentral:rRNA from 1 species